GCGUGAGCGAUGAAGGCCUUAGGGUUGUAAAGCUCUUUCAGCGGGGAAGAUAAUGACGGUACCCGCAGAAGAAGCCCCGGCUAACUCCGUGCCAGCAGCCGCGGUAAUACGGAGGGGGCUAGCGUUGUUCGGAAUUACUGGGCGUAAAGCGCACGUAGGCGGACCUGCAAGUCGGGGGUGAAAUCCCGGGGCUCAACCCCGGAACGGCCUCCGAAACUGCCGGUCUGGAGUUCGGGAGAGGCGAGUGGAAUUCCGAGUGUAGAGGUGAAAUUCGU
rnacentral:rRNA from 1 species